rnacentral:rRNA from 1 species
UACGUAGGGUGCAAGCGUUGUCCGGAAUUAUUGGGCGUAAAGAGCUUGUAGGCGGUUUGUCGCGUCUGCUGUGAAAUUUCGGGGCUCAACCCCGAACUUGCAGUGGGUGCGGGCAGACUAGAGUGUGGUAGGGGAGACUGGAAUUCCUGGGUGUAGCGGUGAAAUGCGCAGAGUAUCAGGAGGAACACCGAUGGCGAAGGCAGGUCUCUGGGCCACUACUGACGGCUGGAGAAGC